UACGGGGGGAGCAAGCGUUGUUCGGAUUUACUGGGCGUAAAGGGCGCGUAGGCGGCCUCCGCAAGUCAGUUGUGAAAUCUCCGAGCUUAACUCGGAAAGGUCAACUGAUACUGCGGGGCUAGAGUGCGGAAGGGGCAACUGGAAUUCUUGGUGUAGCGGUGAAAUGCGUAGAUAUCAAGAGGAACACCUGCGGCGAAGGCGGGUUGCUGGGGCCGACACUGACGUGAGGGCGCGAAGGCGUGGGGGAGCGAACGGG
rnacentral:rRNA from 1 species